GUAAAACUCAACAGUGACAAAGAGACGAAGUACGGUUCCAGGCUCCAAUUCUCGGAGACUCUCGGAGACUCGAGGGCAGUUUACAUACAGGUACAACGGGACCAGCCUGGAGCCAGCCAUCGGGAAGAGAUAGUAAAGAGAACUCCAACUGCAUCACCCUCUAUUUCUUACCGAGUCUCAAAGAAGGGAGAAGGCACCUCCGCCCGCACCCCUCCUCCGUUUUAGAAGCACUAGCAGCAGGUUUCAGGCUCUGGGGAGCAGCACCCCCUACCCCGCUGCCUGAGAUCCCUUCAACCGAGUGAUUUAGAUGGUGCCGAGUUUGCUCUCUCCGUGUUCUAAUGGCGUCAUUGCGCUGUCCUUCACCACAUCUGGAAACUGAGACUUCACCUAAAGGACCCUAAUAUGAGUUGGAUGCAGAGGGACCGAAUUCCUGUAAAUAGAGGCUCAACCUGAAGGCAUACGCUUCUUUCCACAGUGAGUGGCAGGCAUCCCGACCAGGGCACCAGCUUGCCGGACUCUGGGAGUGAGCUCAGAGCCACUGGGAUGGAUGCUGGAAGAAUGGGGUACCUCCUGGCAACCCGGCGCCUGCAGCUGCCCUGUGAAAAGGACCCCUUCUCAACCUGGUUGAUGCUCACUGCCCGCAACAAAACAGGAAACCAGCGCCGGGCUUUAUAUCAACAAAUACACCUUAGAUGGUCGAGAGUUUGAAGGAAGUAGCGGGUUUGCGUCUAAGUCUGGUGCUGUUGGACUCGGUGUUUCUCCCUGAGAAAUCAGCGUGGAGCCAGGAGAACUGGGCCCAUAGGGGUCUUCCGUAAGGACACUCCCCAUCUGGCUGUGAAUUCUUAAUAGACAAAGCAACAGAGGGAGGGAAACUCACCAGCAAGGAGAAAGGGGGAAACUCAAGACCCCUUCAAGUACACACUGAGGUGUAAUCAGAUUUUACAGGCACGUUAUAUACUGUAACCAUAGCUAUGUGUGUGCCUUCAUACGCACACGCACAGAUUCACACACCAAAUGUAUACACAGGCACAAGCGUAGUGAAAUACAGUCAUUAUGCCAAGUCCUAAGGGGGGAAAAUCACCUUGUCAAAGCAGCCUGGUGGCCAGUUUCCUGUCCUCUGGUUCAAUUCAGCUUUCUCCAACCACUGGUCCUCCCUCCUGGGUCUGUAAAUACGGUAAAUACACCUGUCUUCAGUGGAAGGUGAGCGGCCCAUCAGCAUUUGUCUGGUUCAGAUGGCCUCCCCUAGAAUCUCUGGACCCUCCCGGAGCUGUUCCGAGCUUGUGAGGGAGCCUCCAGCUGCAGUCCUUUGUCUGUGGGACUAGAUCCCUUCGUGGCCCAAUGCUCUGGGAAACGAAGCAGCUCAAUACAAACUUUUGAUAUUAGUUUUUUAAAGGUAUUUACACUUUGGUGAGAGUAGCUGGGUACGGAAGCUGCUUCGUUAAUCAGCCCCCGACCGACCUUAGGUUCGGCUGGGACUAGGAGCUGGCCGGAAAAGAAAAAAAGCUUCGGGAAGUCGGAGAGAAUGAAAAACAAAACAAAACUGCACAAGGUCAUUUUCUGUUCCUGGAAACUGAGUAAGUGGGCCAUUCCAGGGACUCCCCAGUUGGCCACUCCCUCCCGCUUUGUACAGGGAACAUGUUUUCUGCCUUUGCCUAAUACAACAACUACACUUUAAAAUAUAUUUCCCCCCUCCCAAUACAUAUAAAGGUGUAGCAAGCCCCUCUACAUCCAGUUUAUCUUUGACUUUAUUAUCAUCUUAUCUUGCAUACCUUUUUUGAUAAUUAAAGCUUAAUUAUAGCCCAGGUAUUGAACUGCUUCAUUCUCAAUAGAAGGUUUUGAGAAUUUUUAAGAUUGUGAGAAAGGGGUGAACUGGAGUUGUUUGAGGCAAGGACUAUUGAGAGCCCAAGGUUUCACCAAGAAGGAACCUGGAGCAAAAAAGAUUUGGGAUCUUAUCUGAAAUUGUAUGUGUCUUCUUUAUAAAAAUUACACAUGCGGGGGAGGGUUAUAUCAACUUCUUCUCUGAGUCCUUUCACUGAAGAUUUCUGUUCGUUUAAGAUUGAUGUGGGAGUGCCCUGUGUCCUAACUUGAUACAUUUUCACGUUAAGCAAAUGCUUAUUUCCUAUUUCAAAACAUCUCUUUCCCUAUAGACAUCUCAUAGAAAUUUCUAAUGCUUAAACUAAGAGAAGAAAGGGUGGACUGAAUUGAUAUCAAAGUUACCAUGGUUUUCUAGAAAAAAAAUGUAGCUCUGUACGCCUUUUAAAAUAUUCCUUCUGCAACAAGAGAUUUUUAAAAUACUGAAUAAAAGCACGAAUGUUUUGUUUGCA
ensembl:lincRNA Hottip Hoxa distal transcript antisense RNA